rnacentral:rRNA from 1 species
AGAAUCAACGCUGGCGGCGUGCCUAACACAUGCAAGUCGAACGAGAAAGGGGUAGCAAUACCCUGAGUAAAGUGGCGCACGGGUGAGUAACACGUGACUAACCUACCCUUGAGUGGGGGAUAACUGAGGGAAACCUUAGCUAAUACCGCAUAAUACCCACGGGUCAAAGGAGCAAUUCGCUCGAGGAGGGGGUCGCGGCCGAUUAGUUGGUUGGCGGGGUAAUGGCCCACCAAGACGAUGAUCGGUAUCCGGCCUGAGAGGGGCGCGACGGAACGACGACCUAGGAACGUGAAACACGGUCCAGACUCCUACGGGAGGCAGCAGUGGGGAAUUUGCGCAAUGGGGGAAACCCUGACGCAGCAACGCCGCGUGGAGGAUGAAGUCCUUCGGGACGUAAACUCCUUUCGAUCGGGACGAUAAUGACGGUACCGGAAGAAGAAGCCCCGGCUAACUUCGUGCCAGCAGCCGC